AUUGAACGCUGGCGGCAGGCCUAACACAUGCAAGUCGAGCGAGCGGCGGACGGGUGAGUAAUGUAUGGGGACUGCCCGAUAGAGGGGGAUAACUACUGGAAACGGUGGCUAAUACCGCAUACUAUCGGAUAACCCAUAUGGGAUUAGCUAGUAGGUGGGGUAAAGGCUCACCUAGGCGACGAUCUCUAGCUGGUCGGAGAGGAUGAUCAGAAAAACGUGGACGGAGACACGGCCCAGAUGCGAAGGGAGGCAGCAGGGGGGAAUAUUGCACAAUGGGCGAAAGUCUGAUGCAGACAGGCCGCGUGUAUGAAGAAGGCCUUCGGGUUGUAAAGUACUUUCAGCGGGGAGGCGUUACCCGCAGAAGAAGCACAGGCUAACUACGUGCCAGAAGCCGCGGUAAUAC
rnacentral:rRNA from 1 species